rnacentral:rRNA from 1 species
UACCAGCACCCCGAGUGGUCGGGACGUUUAUUGGGCCUAAAGCAUCCGUAGCCGGUUCUACAAGUCUUCCGUUAAAUCCACCUGCUUAACAGAUGGGUUGCGGAAGAUACUAUAGAGCUAGGAGGCGGGAGAGGCAAGCGGUACUCGAUGGGUAGGGGGUAAAAUCCGUUGAUCCAUUGAAGACCACCAGUGGCGAAGGCGGCUUGCCAGAACGCGCUCGACG